rnacentral:other from 1 species
ACCUAUAGUUGCACCGCACCACAGAGAUAGCGGUCCCUGCCGUAAAUUCUGACUGGUAGCGAUGUUGUGUUUGCAAUUUUUCCGGCUUGCCGGACGAUAGUACCUUUCUACUAUCACACUUCCUGAUUUUUUGGCGUGAUAUGCCAUAGAUUAUUUUUGGCACUGGGCAGCUUUGCUCAGUGCUUUUUUCU